AACAUCCCAUGCCAAACGUUUUGAACGAAAAACUCAUGUUUACAUUACAUUUGUUUUACGAAAAAAAGAAUCACCAUAUUUAAACCGAAUUCUGCUUUUCAUCUUCGUGCUGCUUCUCACAAAAUCUGCUGCCAUGGUUCCCUUGAUUUAUCAUUCCCAUGUAUAGAGAAACCUCGCUGCGAUUCUGAUUUGAACAUGUUUAAGUUAUUUAUUUCCAUAUUUUUUACAACAUAUGCUUUUCAUCUUCGUGUUACUUUGAGGAAAAUCGUAUUCUAUUAUGUACCUUUACUUGUACCGAUUUCUUAAAAUGUGUUGUUUUCAUCAUGAUUCUGUUUUUUUUUUUUUUCUUUUCAGAAACUAUGAAAUGGUAUGGCUUUUAUGUUACUUUGUGAAUUGAAGAAGUAAACGGGAAACCAACUCCAGAUUUGGGUGGCUUUGUCGUUGUUACAAAGGAAAAUUGAGGUUUUCGGCCCGGGUACGCAUGAUUUGCACUACUAGCCAGCCUACUUCGAUUACCUGGGGAAGAAUUGUAUUUAUGAUGAUGAACUUGUUACUGAAUCAUGGACAUCAUCAUCUUUCAAAUUAUUGAGAUCUUCCAUCCAGUUACAAUUUUUGUUGUUGAAUCUUUGGGAUACAUACAACAAUGUUUCUUCAUGUACAGAUUGUAUCAAUGCUCGCGUGACAGAUAAAUGUUGUAUGUAUCAAGUUUUACAACUUUUGAUUCGACCUAUCAAUUAUGUGCAUUAUGUUUCAAAUCAGUGUUUUUUGUUCGAA